rnacentral:rRNA from 1 species
UACGUAGGGGGCAAGCGUUGUCCGGAAUCAUUGGGCGUAAAGAGCGUGUAGGCGGCCCGAUAAGUCCGCUGUGAAAGUCCAGGGCUCAACCCUGGGAUGCCGGUGGAUACUGUCGGACUAGAGUACGGAAGAGGCGAGUGGAAUUCCCGGUGUAGCGGUGAAAUGCGCAGAUAUCGGGAGGAACACCAAUUGCGAAGGCAGCUCGCUGGGACGUCACUGACGCUGAGACGCGAAAGCGUGGGGAGCAACAGG